rnacentral:rRNA from 1 species
AUAUCAAUAAGCGGAGGAAAAGAAACCAACCGGGAUUGCCUCAGUAACGGCGAGUGAAGCGGCAAGAGCUCAAAUUUGAAAUCUGGCCCCGUCGGGUCCGAGUUGUAAUUUGCAGAGGAUGCUUCGGGUGCGGCCCCCGUCUAAGUGCCCUGGAACGGGCCGUCGGAGAGGGUGAGAAUCCCGUCUGGGACGGGGUGUCCGCGUCCGUGUGAAGCUCCUUCGAAGAGUCGAGUUGUUUGGGAAAUGCAA